rnacentral:tRNA from 1 species
GGCUUCGUAGCUCAGCUGGUAGAGCGCUUGCCUCGUUAAGGUAUGCCGUGUCUGUCGCUAGUUUGAAUCCAGCCGAAGCCC